CGCGGCCUAUCAGCUUGUUGGCGGGGUAAUGGCCCACCAAGGCGCCGACGGGUAGCUGGUCUGAGAGGAUGAUCAGCCACACUGGGACUGAGACACGGCCCAGACUCCUACGGGAGGCAGCAGUGGGGAAUCUUGCGCAAUGGGCGAAAGCCUGACGCAGCAACGCCGCGUGGGGGAUGAAGGCCCUCGGGUUGUAAACCCCUUUCAGCAGGAACGAAUCUGACGGUACCUGCAGAAGAAGGCCCGGCCAACUACGUGCCAGCAGCCGCGGUAAUACGUAGGGGCCAAGCGUUGUCCGGAUUUAUUGGGCGUAAAGAGCUCGUAGGCGGUUGGGUAAGUCGGGUGUGAAAACUCCAGGCUCAACUUGGAGAGGCCACCCGAUACUGCUCUGACUCGAGUUCGGUAGGGGAGUGGGGAAUUCCUGGUGUAGCGGUGAAAUGCGCAGAUAUCAGGAGGAACACCGGUGGCGAAGGCGCCACUCUGGGCCGAAACUGACGCUGAGGAGCGAAAGCGUGGGUAGCAAACAGGAUUAGAUACCCUGGUAGUCCACGCCGUAAACGUUGGGCACUAGGUGUGGGCCCUAACCAACGGGGUCCGUGCCGUAGCUAACGCAUUAAGUGCCCCGCCUGGGGAGUACGG
rnacentral:rRNA from 1 species